CAUGAACACUGGAAACAUUCUUAUCGUACGAUCGCGCAUGGGCAAGGCGGUGUAACCGUCUGGCGAAAGCCUCUCAUGCGCGAAACACAGGCUCCUUCGGGGGCCUUUUUUAUUGGCCCGGU
rnacentral:sRNA from 1 species